AUCUAGUUUGACGUUCUUAUAUUGCAUACUGCAUUAAUUUAAGGUGGCACUUUAGUCAACAUUAAUUAUACUACGUCAUUCGCAAUAUUUUACUUUUAUUGCGGGAUCUGAGGGAAUAUCCACAAGAGAAAAAAUCACAUGGUGCGAGUUCAGGUGAAUGGGGAAACCAAGAAAUCUCUCCAUUUUAGGAUAACACACGAUUCAGGAAAAUCUCAUUAACAAUAUUCGUACUCGCGUGUGGUUUCGUCUUGUUGGUAUAAAGUUUGAUCAUUCAAUGCAUGUUGAGGAAUGAAGAAUGACUUUAGCGGUAAUAAACUGCCCCCUUUCAUUUUUUGAAAAAAAAAUGGGCUUAUGAGGACAUGGUAUACCAAAAUGUUACCUUGACUGAGUUGAGAGAUUGUUGAUGAAAUUGAUGAGGGUUUUGAUCAUCCAGUACCUGAAGUUUCGUUUGUUCGUAAAUCCCGAGUAAUGAAAAUUUGCAUCGUCACUCAAAAUCCAGAGGUUGUGAACAAGUUCCUCAUUUUCUUCAACUGUUCCCAAAAACGUUUUGCACAAUUGUCGUCGGGCAACAAAAUCGUUUUCGUCCAAUCCUUCACCACUUGACUUCUGUAAGGCACAAAUGGUACAAAUUUGACCUCAAAAUCCUUAGAAUGAACCUAUCAAAAAUUCCAAGAUCAACACUCUGCAGACGAGCUGACUUUUAAGGGCUUCUUGUUAUAGCACACAUGCUCAACAUUCUCAGGAGUUUGAACGGAUUUAAUACCUCUUUUGCUCAUUGUUCCAUCGAUAUUUUCGAAAUUUGUCACCCACAUAUUUAUUGAAUUACACACAUACAGUAGGCACUGGCUGAUUGCUAUGAAUUUCAACAAAAUGAGCACUACAGCUCACCCCACCCAUUUUCUACAUUUCCACUGUUAUUUCCAAAAUGCAGGAUUGACUGCUGCACCCUGUAUAAAUUAUAUUGUUAUUAAAGCAAUUUUCAAGCAAAGUUGACCAUAUUAAAUAUAUUUUGACUCUAUUUAAUUUAGUAUAAGACACUAAAAAUUUAUCUAUUUCCUCACCAUCAACUUUCCACUCAACCAAUUUCGUUUUUAUGUGUUCUUCUAUAGAUUGUAAUAAUUUAAUAUCAUAAGGAGUAACCAAUGUGAUAGCUUUACCCCCUCUACCUGCUCUUGCAGUUCUACCAACUCUAUGAACAUAUUCUUUGGGAACCUUGGGGACUGUGUGAUUUAAAACUAAUUCGACAGUGGGGAUGUCGAGACCUCUGCUUGCCACAUCAGUUGCUAUGAGCAUUUUUACAGUAUUGCUUUUAAAUCUUGCUAAAGCUGCUAGACGUUGUUGUUGUGGAAUCAUAGCGUGGAGAGCCACAUUUUCGAAUCCUACAUCAUUUAGUGUCAUUGAAAGUACUUGACAGUUUCUACAAAAUAGAAUAUAUACAUCAAAUUGUAACACAAUUAUACUUAAUAUUAUUCCCUGCAAAAUACUCUCCAUUACAACUAAUACAUCUGCCCCGCAGGUUCUUUCACUAUUUGGAACAUUUUUUGUAUUUAUCUAUAGAAAUGACUGAUAGCCCCUUGCGCUUUUUUCACCUUUUCAAUUUUGUAUUUAUGAAUUCUUCUCUUUAACUCUUCGCUCCUCGCUAGGAGCAUUAUCAAAAUCAUUUUAUGUAUAAUUAUUUAAAAAUGUGGUUUAAACUGCACAAAACAUGAAUUGAUAAUUUUUAUUAGAAUUAUUUUUUUAAAAUAUAAUAGCUUAUAUAUCCUUAAUUGUCUAAAGUAUUUAGACUGAUAUCUAAUGUUACAUUUCUUGGUCACAUUAUGUGACAUAAUUAAUGACAUUUUUAGCAAAAAUUUUCUAUUCAUGUUUUGACCAGUUUAAACCACAUUUUUAAAUCAUUUUACAUAUAAUUCUUUUGAUAAUUCUCCUAGUAAGAGCCAAACGUUAAGAGAAGAAAAAUAAAAUCCAAAUAAAAAUCAACCUACAAGUUCAAAAACUUUAGUGUAUAAUUUUGUCACAUCCCACUACGAAAACGCUCAUAAACUAGCUGGCAAAGACAAGACAAAUUUUGUGCAUCUUCCCCUUUUUUUGUUUUUGCCUAAUUUUUCUUUCCAUACUCCCUUCACUGAAAUUGAAUCUUUCAUUCUCAGUAAAUGACCCCACCAACUUAACUGUCUUUGCCCAAUGAAUUCCAUGAGACAUGAUUUCAAGAUCUUGUCAUAUUUGAUCAUUUGUUAAUCAAUUCUUUUUUGUAACUCCUCUUAUAUGCUCAAGAUAUUUUAUCUCUGCAGCUUGGAAUGUACUUUUUUGUCUACUAGGGAGAGUCCAUGUUUCACAUCAGUAAAUCAAAAUUGGUGUAUUAAUUGCUUAAUAAAUAUUUACUUUUGAAUUUCUCAAAACUUCUCUUUUAUUUAUCAAGUAGUUAGCUUAUGCUGUAAUAUGUAAUUAAGGCAUUUUUAGUUCUCUUGGCAAUCUUUGAAUGUUCAUUGUCUGUAUGUUCAACUUCUCUUCCAAGGUAUUUAAAUUUAUUCACUGUUUUAAUCCUAUUUCCUUCUAUAUCUACAUUUAUUGUUUGAGUGCCACUAAUAUGGUUUUUUCCAUAUUUAUCCCCGUCCCUAACUGCUUUAAUGUUUUGUUCCAGAUAUCAAAGUUUUUUCUGUAGAUCUUAGAUGUUUUUUACAAUAUCUACAUAUCAUCAGCAUAUGCUGCCUCGGAUAUUUACACUAUUUGUAGGUUUUAUAUUCAAUGCAUACUUUCUUUCAGUUGGAUGAGCAUAUAUUUAUUAGAUCAUCUAUAUUAAUGUUGAAAAGCAAUGGACUGAAGUCACCACGUUGUCUCAUUCCUCUAAAAGAAAUGGACUCAAGCUACCACUUUAUCUUACUUCUCUGAAAUUCGGUUUUUACCAAUAAUAUGAUUGAUGUUACAUUUAUAUAAGCUCAUAAUUGCAUUUUGUAAAUCAACAUCUAUUUUUCUUCUUUUCAAAUUUUAAGGCAUCUGUCCCAUUGGUACUUCCAUUGUUUGAAAUGAUUUAUAUACUCAUCUGUAGAAAUAGUUGGCAGCCCUUUCAAUUUUGUGGAGUGUGUGUCUUUUCAUGUAUGGAAAGUCACACCACCAUUUGCAAUUGUCACUGAGGAAUAACCAGUUCCUUGUCUUCCACAAGUCAGGUUUUUUCUGAUGAACACUGUUGUGUAGUAUUCUCAACACAAACGUCAUGUAUUAUAUCCUUGAGAAAAAAAAACAAAUCUUGUAAAAUUAUUUUCAUUUCAAAUGCUUUUUUAAUUUAUUAUAUAAUUGAUAAAUAUAUUACUAAUUAGAACUA